rnacentral:lncRNA from 1 species
GAGAAGCUCGCGACUUUUGAUCGUGAGCGGAUACCUGAGCGUGUUGUUCAUGCUAGAGGUGCCAGUGCAAAAGGUUUCUUUGAAGUCACUCAUGAUAUUUCUCAUCUUACCUGUGCUGAUUUUCUCCGAGCGCCUGGGGUUCAAACACCUGUUAUUUGCCGUUUCUCUACUGUCGUCCAUGAGCGUGGAAGCCCCGAGUCCCUUAGGGACAUUCGUGGUUUUGCUGUCAAAUUUUACACCAGAGAGGUAAUUUGCCUCAUCACAUGAACUUACUGCUUUCUUGGAAUGUAUUUGUUCAAUUGUAUUUUCUUAAUUUACUUGUGUAUAUAUCUUACUUGUUUUUAUGAAUCAGGGUAACUUUGAUCUGGUUGGAAACAACGUCCCCGUCUUCUUUAAUCGUGAUGCAAAAUCGUUCCCUGACACGAUUCGUGCACUGAAACCAAAUCCAAAGUCACACAUUCAGGAAUACUGGAGGAUCCUUGAUUUCUUCUCUUUCCUUCCGGAGAGUUUGCAUACUUUUGCCUGGUUUUUCGAUGAUGUUUGUCUCCCGACAGAUUACAGACACAUGGAAGGUUAUGGUGUUCACGCCUAUCAAUUAAUCAACAAGGCUGGGAAAGCACAUUAUGUGAAGUUUCACUGGAAACCAACUUGUGGUGUCAAGUGCAUGUCGGAGGAAGAAGCUAUUAGGGUCGGAGGUACAAAUCAUAGCCACGCCACCAAGGAUCUCUACGAUUCGAUUGCUGCUGGAAACUAUCCCGAGUGGAAACUUUUUAUCCAAAUUAUGGACACUGAGGAUGUAGACAAAUUCGACUUUGAUCCUCUUGAUGUAACCAAGACCUGGCCUGAGGAUAUCUUGCCAUUGAUGCCAGUUGGACGAUUGGUACUUAACAGGAAUAUCGAUAACUUCUUUGCUGAGAACGAGCAGCUCGCGUUUAACCCUGGCCAUAUUGUCCCUGGUCUUUACUAUUCGGAGGACAAGCUUCUCCAGACUAGGAUAUUCGCGUAUGCUGAUACUCAGAGACACCGUAUUGGACCAAACUAUAUGCAGCUUCCUGUUAAUGCUCCCAAGUGUGCUCAUC